GACGAACGCUGGCGGCGUGCUUAACACAUGCAAGUCGAGCGGAGCGGCGAACGGGUGAGUAACGCGUGAGUAACUGCCCCCCUCUCUGGGAUAACAGUUGGAAACGGCUGCUAAUACCGGAUAGUGGGGGAUGACUCGCGUCCUAUCAGCUUGUUGGUGGGGUAGGGGGCUACCAAGGCGACGACGGGUAGCCGGCCUGAGAGGGCGACCGGCCUCCUUGUGCUGAGAUAGGGUCCAAACUCCUACGGGAGGCAGCAGUGGGGAAUCUUGCGCACUGGGGCAAACCCUGAUGCAGCGACGCCGCGUGCGGGAUGUCGGCUUUCUGGGUGUAAACCGCUUUCAGCCAUGACGCGGUAGUGGCAGAAGAAGCACCGGCUAACUACGUGCCAGCAGCCGCGGUAAUUC
rnacentral:rRNA from 1 species